AUUGAACGCUGGCGGCAUGCUUUACACAUGCAAGUCGAACGGUAACAGGUUAAGCUGACGAGUGGCGAACGGGUGAGUAAUGCAUCGGAACGUGCCCGAUCGUGGGGGAUAACGCAGCGAAAGCUGCGCUAAUACCGCAUACGAUCUGAGGAUGAAAGCGGGGGACCGUAAGGCCUCGCGCGAUCGGAGCGGCCGAUGUCAGAUUAGGUAGUUGGUGGGGUAAAGGCCCACCAAGCCGACGAUCUGUAGCUGGUCUGAGAGGACGACCAGCCACACUGGGAAUGAGACACGGCCCAGACUCCUACGGGAGGAAGCAGUGGGGAAUUAUGGACAAUGGGCGAAAGCCUGAUCCAGCAAUGCCGCGUGAAGGAAGAAGGCCUUCGGGUUGUAAACUGCUUUUGUACGGAGCGAAAAGGUCCUUUCUAAUACAAGGGGCUCAUGACGGUACCGUAAGAAUAAGCACCGGCUAACUACGUGCCAGCCGCCGCAGUAA
rnacentral:rRNA from 1 species